GACUACUCACCUACUCCUCCUUCUCUCUACUUUCUCUCUCUAUAACUUUCAUGAUUCAUCUGCUUAAUCUCGAUGUUAACAUGGUAUCAGAGCCUCGACGACGAUCCGAUCAUGUUUCUGUGUGAUUCGUGGUCUUGGAUGAAGUCUGUUUCGAGGUGUUUGGGGGUGAUUUCUGAGACCUUUUCGUCGAUGAUGAUUUCAAUCUAUCGGAGACCUUUCUGAGUGUCUCUUUGUGAUAUCCGAGUGUGUUUUCCUCUCCUGAACACUCUAGAAUGAUUUUGUGAUGAUUUUGGUUGGUUGAUUUUGGGUGACUUAUCGGCUUCUAGGAUUUCUGACGGUUUAACCUGAGGUUUUACCGUAUUCCGGUGGCUCGAUUAUCACUUUGUGGACAUUUUGGGUGCAUUUCCGACGUUCCUGACUAGAUUUCCGGUAAAGUUUGUUUUCUCAAAGCUAUACCUAGGGUUUCUGUUAUUCUGAAGGCCGAUCUUCUCCGGUUGCGAAGAAGGAGGGUAACUCUGUCCUUAUCUCAGAUAUUAUAUGCGAUUAUUUGACUCUGUUCUUGUGAGCAUCUGGUGUUGUUUGUGAAUAGUUGACCUGACUGUAGUCCGUUUGUUGGUUGUUGUGUUUGAAUACUUGUUUUGGUAGUAUUCUUUUUGUUGAAAAGUUAUUCAUUUAAGCCAGUCCAUUAACUAUGGCUUCUAGCACAAACAGUGGUGCCUCCCCAACUGUAGACUCCUCU
rnacentral:lncRNA from 1 species